GCAUUACUGAGGAGUCCCAUACUAGGACGAAACGGCCGUCCAGUGC
rfam:Schistosoma haematobium scaffold491_37, whole genome shotgun sequence.